GGGCUUGUACUGGUUUCGACGGGGGCUAUGAAGCUGGUGAAGCUAUCCGCAUGCAAUGCGUUAAAUGGCAAACCUAAAUAUAAACGCUAACGACGAAUUAGCAAUCGCAGCCUAAUUUAGGCGGCUGUCGGCCUACUGGCACCUGCACCUUUAGCAACCGGCAUCAUUAAAUGCAGGAAACGACACGUGCAAAGCUUUGAGCACGCGGGCGUAUGAUGAAGCUACCGAGCGCAGUCGGCUGUCUGUUUCCGGCUGCAGGAGGGAAUGAAACCAUAACAGACUAUGAUAGUAGAAGAACAGGGAAUUGGUUUUCGGACAGGGGUUCGAUUCCCCUCAGGUCCAUC
rnacentral:tmRNA from 1 species